rnacentral:rRNA from 1 species
AUUGAACGCUGGCGGCAGGCCUCACACAUGCAAGUAGAGCGAGCGGCGGACGGGUGAGUAAUGUAUGGGGACUGCCCGAUAGCGGGGGAUAACUACUGGAAAAUGUGGCUAAUACCUCAUACUAUCGGAUCACCCAAAUGGGAUUAGCUAGUAGGUGGGCGAAAGGCACACCUAGGCGACGAUCUCUAGCUGGUCUGAUAGGAUGAUCAGCGAAACUGGGACUGAGACACUGCCAAGACUCCGACGGAGGCAGCAGUGGGGAAGAUGGAACAAGGGGCGCAAGCCUGAUGCAGCAAUGCGGCGUGGAUGAAGAAGGCAUUAGGGUUGUAAAGUACGUGCAGCGGGGAGGCGUUACCCGCAGAAGAAGCACCGGCGAACUCCGUGCCAGCAGCCGAGGUAAUAC